AACGAACGCUGGCGGCAUGCCUAACACAUGCAAGUCGAACGAGACCUUCGGGUCUAGUGGUGCACGGGUGCGUAACGCGUGGGAACCUGCCCUUAGGUUCGGUAUAACUCCCCGAAAGGGGUGCUAAUACCGGAUAAUGUCUUCGGACCAAAGAUUUAUCGCCUUUGGAUGGGCCCGCGUUGGAUUAGCUAGUUGGUAGGGUAAAAGCCUACCAAGGCGACGAUCCAUAGCUGGUCUGAGAGGAUGAUCAGCCACACUGGGACUGAGACACGGCCCAGACUCCUACGGGAGGCAGCAGUGGGGAAUAUUGGACAAUGGGCGAAAGCCUGAUCCAGCAAUGCCGCGUGAGUGAUGAAGGCCUUAGGGUUGUAAAGCUCUUUUACCCGGGAUGAUAAUGACAGUACCGGGAGAAUAAGCUCCGGCUAACUCCGUG
rnacentral:rRNA from 1 species